rnacentral:rRNA from 1 species
UGAGCAACCUGCCCUUGACCCUGGAAUAACAGCUGGAAACAGCUGCUAAUACCGGAUAUGACCUCCGAUGGCAUCAUCUGGAGGUGGAAAGCUCCGACGGUCAAGGAUGGGCUCGCGGCCUAUCAGCUUGUUGGUGAGGUAACGGCUCACCAAGGCUUCAACGGGUAGCCGGCCUGAGAGGGCGACCGGCCACACUGGGACUGAGAUACGGCCCAGACCUNUACGGGAG